GACCCCGUAGCUCAGUGGUAGAGCGUGAGAUUCCAGUUGAUUACUGCUGUAUUUGGAAUUUCCUCAAGGUCAUCCGUUCAAUCCGGGUCGGGGUCA